rnacentral:tRNA from 1 species
GCGGGUGUAGCUCAGUUGGUAGAGCAUCAGCUUCCCAAGCUGAAUGUCGAGGGUUCGAGCCCCUUCGCCCGCUCCA